GAUAGACAGUAAGAUCAUGUGGUUGGGUUAAGGUGUCUAUCUACAUUUCUAUCUGUAUAUCUCCCCUGUGGAUGAUAGAGACAGUCAGAUCUCUAAUGAUGUGGUAGACUUCAGGGAUCAAUCUAUCUAUCUAUGUCGCUGAUGCCUGUGUCCUCAAGAAGAUAGCAACAGUAGCAGCAUCUCCAACUUUCCCUGUUCUGGCAUUCCCUCACAGCACACUCAGUCCCUUACCUAACAACUUUCCCCAAUAUUCAUAACUAAGGGAUAUGUAUACUUAAUAGAUAUACUCCGCUGCUAGAAAGAUGGGCAGUCAUAUUAUGUAGUUUAAGCAAAAGUGUUAGUAAGAUUAUGUGCUUUAGCUCUUGGUAUGGUGUGUAUAUGCCUUGAUGGGUAUAUUUUGGUACAGGAAAGAAGCAGUUGAGAAAGGAAAUGAAAAGAAAGGUUACAUGGUUGGCAGUCUGUGGUGCAUGGCUAAUUUCUUUGAUGUUGUGGAAAGAGGCAGCAAGAUCGUGUGGUAUGGAAGUAGUCAGAAGAAGUGGUGUUUAGGUUAAUGUUUCGACGUUGCAGGUGGCUCGGUUAACCAGGUAGCAGCGCCGGGCAAAAUUUGUGGCUCUACCGUGUACCAGCGACGGGCCAAAUUUUUGCCGUGAUAUAAACCCCCAAAAUAGAUGAUGCAUAAACUGAUCACCAAUGCGUUGAUAUAUAUUAUGAAAUGGUUUGCGUGAGUGAUGAUUUUUUCUUAUUUUUCUCGCUUAGAGGGGCCUUUGAGAAACAUGAUCCCCGCAGCUACCGGAUUAAGGACUUUUGGUUAGCGUUCCUCACCAAAGCAUAAUCUUCUUCUCGUUAACUCAGUCACUUUGGCCAACCGCAUGAUCUAUCUAUAUCAUCCACAGGGGAGAGAUAGAUAGAUAGAAAUGUAGAUAGGUAGAUAGACACAUUAACCCAUUUUCCACCAAUGCAGAGAGAUGAAGAAUGGAGGGAUUUAGGUUCAUGUGUUCUAAUGCUGAAGGAAUGGUCAGCAGAGUUAAAGGGCCUGGUUUUAUGUUUGAUGUUGGUCCCUCUGCUGUGUGACCUUAGCUACUCAUCAAACAUUUAGUGUACUGGAUGUGCUGUUAGAAAAUUUAAUGGCAAAAAUAAAUGUCAGUCACAUCUUUCCUUGUUCCUUUAUUCAGGAUGGUAGAAGUGUGAAGAAGAAGAGAAAAUAGUCAAUCAAAUAGGCUGAAUAAGGUAGAAGCAAAAGUCUGGUAACACUGCUCUUGUACAGAAAAUGUCAGACAAUGAAAAAAAUAGGAAAAGGGGUUGCUUGAAAGAGUUUGAAUAGAUGUGAAUAAUAAAUAGGUCUACAUGUUUGUUGAAGGAGUUUAAGAAUGCAAGAAAAACAAGUUCAGAGGUUUCUUGAAAGAGUUUAACCUGGUAGCAGCAGGGAUCAUGUUUCUUAAUGGUCCCUCUAAGCAAGAAAAAUGAGAAAAAAAUCGUCACUCACACAAACCAUUUCAUAAUAUAUAUCAAAGCAUUUGUGAUCAGUUUAUGCAUCAUCUAUUUUCUUUUUCUUUUUUAUCAUGGCACAAAUUUGGCCCGUCGCUGCUACAUGGUAAAGCCACAAAUUUGGCCCGUCGCUGCUACCGGGUUAAAAAGUUGUGAAGGAAAUGAAGUCUGCAGAUUUGUUGAUAGUGUUUAGAAGUUGUGAAUGAUAAGUCCAGCGGUUUUUGAAAAAGUUUAAGAACAAAGCGAAGAAUAAUAGGAGAAGAGGUUUGUUGAGAGAGUUUAAGUUGUAAAGAAUAACAGGUUCAGAGGUUUGUUGAGAGAGUUUAAGUUGUAAAGAAUAACAGGUUCAGAGGUUUGUUGAGAGAGUUUAAGUUGUAAAGAAUAACAGGUUCAGAGGUUUGUUGAGAGAGUUUAAGUUGUAAAGAAUAACAGGUUCAGAGG